rnacentral:rRNA from 1 species
GACGAACGCUGGCGGCGUGCUUAACACAUGCAAGUCGAACGGUGAAGCGCCUUCCCUUUUGGUGGGUGUGGAUGAGUGGCGAACGGGUGAGUAACACGUGAGUAACCUGCCCCCUUCUUCUGGAUAACCGCAUGAAAGUGUGGCUAAUACGGGAUAUUCUGGGUCUGUCGCAUGAUGGGUCUGGGAAAGAUAUUGUUUCGGUGGGGGAUGGGCUCGCGGCCUAUCAGCUUGUUGGUGGGGUGAUGGCCUACCAAGGCGGUGACGGGUAGCCGGCCUGAGAGGGUGGACGGUCACACUGGGACUGAGACACGGCCCAGACUCCUACGGGAGGCAGCAGUGGGGAAUAUUGAACAAUGGGCGCAAGCCUGAUGCAGCGACGCCGCGUGAGGGAUGGAGGCCUUCGGGUUGUGAACCUCUUUCGCCAGUGAAGCAGGCCUGCCUCGUUUGUGGGUGGGUUGACGGUAGCUGGAUAAGAAGCGCCGGCUAACUACGUG